UGGUCACGUCUGCUGUGGAAACGCAACGCUUAACGUUGCGCGGGCAGUGAGUACGGGCUGACUAGAGUGCAGUAGGGGAGUCUGGAAUUCCUGGUGUAGCGGUGAAAUGCGCAGAUAUCAGGAGGAACACCGGUGGCGAAGGCGGGACUCUGGGCUGUAACUGACACUGAGGAGCGAAAGCAUGGGGAGCGGACAGGAUUAGAUACCCUGGUAGUCCAUGCCGUAAACGUUGGGCACUAGGUGUGGGGGGCAUUCCACGUUCUCCGCGCCGUAGCUAACGCAUUAAGUGCCCCGCCUGGGGAGUACGGUCGCAAGGCUAAAACUCAAAGGAAUUGACGGGGGCCCGCACAAGCGGCGGAGCAUGCGGAUUAAUUCGAUGCAACGCGAAGAACCUUACCAAGGCUUGACAUACACUGGACCGUUCUGGAAACAGUUCUUCUCUUUGGAGCUGGUGUACAGGUGGUGCAUGGUUGUCGUCAGCUCGUGUCGUGAGAUGUUGGGUUAAGUCCCGCAACGAGCGCAACCCUCGUUCUAUGUUGCCAGCACGUGAUGGUGGGAACUCAUAGGAGACUGCCGGGGUCAACUCGGAGGAAGGUGGGGAUGACGUCAAAUCAUCAUGCCCUUUAUGUCUUGGGCUUCACGCAUGCUACAAUGGCUGGUGCAGAGAGAGGCGAACCCGCGAGGGUGAGCGAAUCCCUUAAAGCCAGUCUCAGUUCGGAUCGUAGUCUGCAAUUCGACUACGUGAAGUCGGAGUCGCUAGUGAUCGCAGAUCAGCAACGCUGCGGUGAAUACGUUCCCGGGCCUUGUACACACCGCCCGUCAAGUCACGAAAGUCGGUAACACCCGAAGCCAGUGGCCUAACCGCAAGGAGGGAGCUGUCGAAGGUGGGAUCGGUGAUUAGGACUAAGUCGUAACAAGGUAACA
rnacentral:rRNA from 1 species